rnacentral:lncRNA from 1 species
GCAACAUAUCUUAAACUGAAGGACACUUUUUCAAUUUCACAGGGGCUGCACACCCAAAUAAAUGCCUCUUGGCUACCCAUUCAUCUAACAGCUGGAAAGAUGACACUUGACAUUUGGAAACUUUCCUGUGAAGAUUGCUGCAAGGCUUUCCCAUUAGCUUCCUGGUGAGACUGUAAGGUCGAAUAAGCUGCCUCAAAACCUGCAAAGGGUAACGGAAAUACUCUAAUAUUAAGCCUGUGCAAUUUAAAUUUCUAAUUCUCGAAUCAUAGUUCUUCAGAUAUUGUAGAAAUCACUGGUAUAUUUCAGGGCAAAAGAAUGCCUUUGAAGAUGUGAAAUUAAAGUGAUAUUUUAAGCAAUGAUAAUGAUAACAAGUGUCUUUUAUUUAAAGUUGGGACUGAAGGUCUUCUAAGUAACAGGGACUUCAACACAGAGAAGUUCUUGUAAGUUUGUUUUCUAAAAUCCCUGACUGUCAUAUUUUCAACAACUGUUCAUCUUUGUCCAGAGCAGAAAUCUUUAACACGAGGCAGAGUUAUUACCAUUCUUCACUUUUUUUCCCACAUCAUAAGCAUUAUUGAAGGUAGCUUUAAAAUUCUUACAACCCAGCAUUGUGGAUUCAUUUCAAAAAUUACUGCCCCCAACAUAAAAUAAAAUAGUAAAUAUGCCAUUAUUAAAAUGCUGUCAUCUUAUAAAAUUUUCAGGUAUAAACAAGCCUUUUUUCCUCUUCAGAAAGAUAAUUCCUUUAAAAUGUCCCCAAAUCAGAAAUUGUUAAUAAAAUGACAGUUUAUUAAAGAUAGCAGAAAGACAAAAUUCCUCACAUAAUCUCAACCCAAAAAAGAAUGUAAAAAAUUUCAUUUAUUGAUAUGAAUGCACACAAUUCAAUUAGAUUUUAUCACAAUGAUCUUUUUCCAUGAUACUCAAUUUGGAAUUCCAUAUUUUUAAUUGUCUUUAUAAUUGUCUGUUCUUGUUUGUUAACUAAGUAUUUUUCAAGUGAAAGAUUAACAAGAAUGAAAAGGCUUCCCUAAAUGUUCAGUCAUAUGUCCAAAUUAGAUGAAAUUAAUGUCAUGAUUAAAAAGGAAACUGAAACCUUUAAAAAAUAUACGUUGAGGGCAUUGAAGAAAUGGAAGACAUGAAUGAUGUAACUUUCAAUCUUGAAUUCAUCAUCAUCUGAGACUAAAAUCACUUUUUAAAAGUUCAGGACCAGCCUGACCAACAAAACUAACUGGGCGUGGUGGCAUAUGCCUGUAAUCCCAGCUACUUGGGAGGCUGAGGCCAGAGAAUCGCUUGAACCCGGGAGGCGGAGGUUGCAGUGAGCCAAGAUCGUGCCAUUGCACUCCAGCCUGGGCAACAAUAGUGAAACUCUGUCUCAAAAAAAAAAAAAAAAGUCAAUUUAGUGAUGCUGAAUUGUACCUCAUUAGCAAUGGAUGUGCACCUCUUGGCCCCAAAUCACGGCAUAAACCUAGUUUUCUCAUGCCAUUCCAUUAACGAAUCCACCAAAAGGAAGCUCAGCUCACAGAAAGAAGAUGGAAUAUCUAGCAAUGACUGGACUUCUCAUUUCUCUUCAAACCAAAACCACAGCUACCAUUUGUACUCACUCUACUGCAGGUCUAUGGCAUGAAUUUGUCUCCACUAGGUCUUGAAAUCACACAUUCAUUUCACAUAGCCUAUUGAACUGCCAUCAGAUGGUAAUGACUUUCUGUCACUCUUGACCUGGGGCAGAUUUGAACUAGUGACCAAGAGGUUAAAGGCUCUGUAUCUCAUUACCAAUCCCCUGAGAUACUUAGUUCCCUCAACCACUAGUGAUUUUUUUUGUGCCUCAGUCAAGCCAGAAGAAAAUACACACAGAAAAAAUCUAAGCAGUAGAAAAGUAGGUCACCAAUGCAAGACAUCUAUGAUAGUUCUCAUGAACCUAAUAAACACCUAUUUCAAAAUAUACCCAUAUACUACAUGUACCUGAGUAGAAUCACAGUAACUGUUAAAGAACUUCAUUGUAACUUUCAAUAGUAUUUCACAUAAGCUACCAUUAAGCUGAAAAACACUGCAGAGAAACUGAAGAUACUUGUGCUUCAUGAGCUUACAGGGUUAAGGAAUGUAUUUUAGAUUCAGUAUCAUUCCAGAAUAUUUGUGUGUGUGUCUUGUGUAUCUAUUCUAAAAUAAUUCUGCCUCACAAGUUAGUUUCAGAGGGGGGUUGACAAAUUGGAAGAAAUAAUAUAGAUUCAUAAAUGAAAUAAUCAAAACAUUAUCAAACACCUUAACGUGGACACUUACUAUAGGAAUACAGCAUAUUUUAAUAAGGAUAAAGUUUGCUGAAGAAAACAGAAGAAUAGUAUUUAGGAACAUAUAUUUAGGCAAACAUAUAUAUAUACAGUAGUAGAAAUAUUGAACCUAAGCCAACAAUGAAAAAAUUAACUUUUUGUUGUUGUUUUUAUUGUUGUUGAAGGUUGACUUCAAAUGCUGGCUGCUAAUAAACAAUAUUCUAUAACUAUUCAACGGCAAUUAUUCUGUACAUAACUAAGUAGGCAGUGACUCCUGAAGUCACUUAGAAAUAUGUACUCAAAUUUUUUUUAAAUUUAAUGCCCUGACGCCUCCUUCCUUACACUUUGCAUUUUCCCCUAAAUGUUUGAUUUUCAUGGAAUGAAUCCCACUUGGAAGAAAAUAGAUCUUUUCCUUUUCAUUUCUUGCCUAUAUUUAAAAUGGUGCUCUAUACAAAUUAUUUUAUUUGAAUUUCUACCUCUACCUGUUGAUUCCAUAUUUAUCCUUCUAUUAAUAACUCUUAUUUUUUGUCUCUCAAUAUAUAUAUAUUUCUACCACAACUGCUUUUGUAGCAGCAACAUGUACAUUUAGUUGUUCCCUUCCACUACUGGUAAUAAAUACUGUGGCUUUUUAAACGUUGCAUCUAAAAUAUAGAGAAUUGAAAACAAUUCUUAAUAAAAGAAUAAUGACACGGCAAAAAUAACUCUAAUGAUGUAACAAACCAGUUAGUUUUGUGAUUAUAAUUUCUAUAAAGAUCAACAUUAUUUGACAAAAUGUUCCAUGUUUAUAAGAGCUCCUUCUCAGGACUACCAUGACUACUGAAGGGACAAUGAGCUUCUGAUCUGG